rnacentral:rRNA from 1 species
GUUGAACGCUGGCGGCAGGCUUAACACAUGCAAGUCGAGCGGUAACAGAGAGGAGCUUGCUUCUCUGCUGACGAGCGGCGGACGGGUGAGUAAUGCCUAUGAAUCUGCCUAGUAGUUGGGGAUAACUUGCCGAAAGGUAAGCUAAUACCGCAUACGUCCUACGGGAGAAGGGUGGAGAGCUUCAGGCCUUUCGCUAUUAGAUUAGCCUAGGUCGGAUUAGUUAGUUGGUGAGGUAAUGGCUCACCAAGACCGCGAUCCGUAACUGGUCUGAGAGGAUGAUCAGUCACACUGGAACUGAGACACGGUCCAGACUCCUACGGGAGGCAGCAGUGGGGAAUAUUGGACAAAGGGGGGAACCCUGAUCCAGCCAUGCCGCGUGUGUGAAGAAGGUCUUAGGAUUGUAAAGCACUUUAAGUUGGGAGGAAGAGCAGUUAACUAAUAUUUGACUGUUUUGACGUUACCGACAGAAUAAGCACCGGCUAACUUCGUG